AACAUCUCUCAUUGAUUAGGGAGUGGUUGUGGAUGAAAAUGGCGGAGUACCUGAGGAGGAAGAGUUAAAUAAUUUUGAUCAUUGGGAUCAAAUAUUCAGAAACUUAGAUCAGAAAGACGGAGAACAGGAUUGUUUGAUUGAAAAAUCAAUUCUAUUGGAAUGGAUCGACACCCUUAAUUUCCAGGAUUCCGUGACACUUGAGACGAAGCAUGGUGUGACUCGAGCACAGUUGAAGACCCUAGUCGAGAAAUCUGAUAAGGAUCGGAAUGGAUUUAUAGACAGGUUGGAAUUUGAGGGAUUGAUAGAAAAACACAGCCAUGAACUUGAAGAUAUUCAGAGAAGCUACUUACUAACCUAUCUUAGGGUGGCUGCUUAUGCAGAAGAAUACAGGUCAUUUUGGGUGGGAUAUUAUUUUUCAU